rnacentral:rRNA from 1 species
UACCAGCACCCCGAGUGGUCGGGACGAUUAUUGGGCCUAAAGCAUCCGUAGCCGGUUUUACAAGUCCUCCGUUAAAUCCCAGCUGCUUAACAGAUGGGCUGCGGAGGAUACUAUAAGACUAAGGAGGCAGGAGAGGCAAGCGGUACUCAGUGGGUAGGGGUAAAAUCCGUUGAUCCAUUGAAGACCACCAGUGGCGAAGGCGGCUUGCCAGAAUGCGCUCGACGGUGAGGGAUGAAAGCUGGGGGAGCAACGG